GACGAACGCUGGCGGCGUGCCUAAUACAUGCAAGUAGAACGCUGAAGAGAGGAGCUUGCUCUUCUUGGAUGAGUUGCGAACGGGUGAGUAACGCGUAGGUAACCUGCCUUGUAGCAGGGGAUAACUAUUGGAAACGAUAGCUAAUACCGCAUAACAAUGGAUGACACAUGUCAUUUAUUUGAAAGGGGCAAUUGCUCCACUACAAGAUGGACCUGCGUUGUAUUAGCUAGUAGGUGAGGUAAUGGCUCACCUAGGCGACGAUACAUAGCCGACCUGAGAGGGUGAUCGGCCACACUGGGACUGAGACACGGCCCAGACUCCUACGGGAGGCAGCAGUAGGGAAUCUUCGGCAAUGGGGGCAACCCUGACCGAGCAACGCCGCGUGAGUGAAGAAGGUUUUCGGAUCGUAAAGCUCUGUUGUAAGUCAAGAACGGGUGUGAGAGUGGAAAGUUCACACUGUGACGGUAGCUUACCAGAAAGGGACGGCUAACUACGUG
rnacentral:rRNA from 1 species